rnacentral:rRNA from 1 species
UACGUAGGGGGCAAGCGUUGUCCGGAUUUAUUGGGCGUAAAGAGCGUGUAGGCGGCCAGGUAGGUCCGUUGUGAAAACUGGAGGCUUAACCUCCAGCUGUCGAUGGAAACCAUCUGGCUAGAGUCCGGAAGAGGAGAGUGGAAUUCCUGGUGUAGCGGUGAAAUGCGCAGAUAUCAGGAAGAACACCCGUGGCGAAGGCGGCUCUCUGGGCCUUACCUGACGCUGAGGAGCGAAAGCGUGGGUAGCGAACAGG